rnacentral:rRNA from 1 species
UACGUAGGGCGCAAGCGUUGUCCGGAAUUAUUGGGCGUAAAGAGCUCGUAGGCGGUUUGUCGCGUCUGCUGUGAAAACCUAAGGCUCAACCUUGGGCUUGCAGUGGGUACGGGCAGACUAGAGUGCGGUAGGGGUGACUGGAAUUCCUGGUGUAGCGGUGGAAUGCGCAGAUAUCAGGAGGAACACCGAUGGCGAAGGCAGGUCACUGGGCCGCAACUGACGCUGGAGGAAGCGAAAGCGUGGGGAGCGAACAGG